GGGUCUUCUGGCAGAAACCUGAGCAUCAGGUUUUCCCCAAUCCCUCCCUUGACCUCCACCUCACACUCAUUAACUAAAACAAAAGGUAAGUAUGUACACGUUCCUGUUCUCCCAGUCAAGUUAAUCACACCCCUUUGUCUUGACCAAGGUCCUAAUCAACUGAAGUUGGGUUUACCAUUGUCUCUGGAAUAGCUCUCCCUGUCUGGCGCUCAGGGGCCAGGAUGUCAGAGAUUAUCUCCCAUGCAAGAGGCUGCUGAGUACGUGAUCUCAGGCUUGAGGGAUUAUGGCCGCCCACAUCCCAGGCUUCCCCUUUGGUAGCCAUUCCUUUCCUGAACAGAACAAAGUUGGAACAGCACAAAUCUGAUACUGGAGC